rnacentral:lncRNA from 1 species
CGACGGCUCUUCCUGCCUCCUGGUCCUCAGGAGUUGGCGGCUCUUUCUGACAGCUGAAAGCCGGCCGGGGGCCUCCGGGAGGGCUCUCCAAGAGUGGGCAGAGACGCCUCAGCCCCCUGGUGGCCCGAGCGCACCCCCGCGCCCCGCGUCUCGGGGUCCAUCGCUCCCCUCGCCCCUCCUUUCCGCCUCUCCUCGCUCUGCCUCUCUCGAUUUAUUUUUUCAAAUGGUGUAGCCGCCAGAGGUGCGGUGCUAAAUUCUUGGAAGGGGCCCGGAUGUACUGAAGAUGCAUUACAAUCUUACUAAAGGAGGCAGUAGUGGAAAGGAGCAGUUUUUGGUGUUUGAUGCAAUAAUGGGAAUCAGGUAAUCAUCAGGAGGGAAGAAGAAACACUGCGGAUCCACGGCUUCCCCGAAUUUUGCACGAGAGCAGCCGACCUCGGAGGAGGGAUUAAUCCAGACCCGCUUGGGGGUGUUUUCACAUUUCUUCCUCUUUGUGGCUUCUUCUCCCCUUCAAACAGUUUUUGGUUAAUGGUCAAUGAAAAUACGAGGAUGUACAUUCCUGAGGAAAACCACCAAGGUUCCAACUAUGGGAGUCCACGCCCAGCUCAUGCCAACAUGAAUGCCAAUGCAGCUGCGGGGCUGGCCCCCGAGCACAUCCCCACCCCUGGGGCAGCCCUAUCGUGGCAGGCAGCCAUCGAUGCGGCCCGGCAGGCCAAGCUGAUGGGCAGUGCUGGGAAUGCGACCAUCUCUACUGUCAGCUCUACACAGCGAAAGCGGCAACAAUACGGGAAACCCAAGAAGCAGGGUGGCACUACCGCCACGCGGCCGCCCCGGGCCCUGCUCUGCCUGACUCUGAAGAACCCCAUCCGGAGAGCGUGCAUCAGCAUUGUCGAAUGGAAACCAUUUGAAAUCAUUAUUUUACUGACUAUAUUUGCCAAUUGUGUGGCCUUAGCAAUCUAUAUUCCUUUCCCAGAAGAUGAUUCCAACGCCACGAAUUCCAACCUGGUCUCUACGCCUUACAGAACACAAGGACUCAGUGAACCCCCAUGACAGCCGAGUGAUGAGUCCUCCUGAGAGAGGAGAUGAGUAGCCUGACGGAAUGAGGCCCAGCACUCUCCCAGCGAUGGUGAAGCCCUCCACAGUGAAGGAGCGUGGCCAUGGGUUGCGGAGGGCAGGGACAGGAGCAUGGAAGUGGGAGGCCACUAUGUUUUCCUUUUGGCUCAAGCCUGGCCAUGAACAUGUCUCAAGUAGCUCCUGGUCCCUAAAUAUCUCUUCCCUCUCGAUGCCAUGAGGUUUGUGUUGUUGCUAUGGGGAGCACUCUCUUGGGUGAAGCCUUAAUCCUCUGGAAGGGAGAAUUCAUGAAGUCAUUACAUAUCCACAUGGGUCUGAGGAUCACCUCCCUUCCUGGCCAUGAUGGACUGGGCUAGCCCAGGAUGAGGGGUUCUAGCUGGUGGUG